UUAUGGCUCAGGAUUAACGCUGGCGGCGUGCCUAAUACAUGCAAGUCGAAUGGUAGCAAUACCAUGGCGAACGGGGUGAGUAACACGUAGGUAACCUGUCCUUAAGACGAGGAUAACCGUUGGAAACGACGGAUAAUACUGGAUAGGAGGAAUUGAGGCAUCUUAAUUUCUUUAAAGAUUUAUCACUUGAGGAGGGGCCUGCGGCGCAUUAGCUAGAUGGCGGGGUAAUAGCCCACCAUGGCAAUGAUGCGUAGCCGGACUGAGAGGUUGAACGGCCACAAUGGAACUGAGAACGGUCCAUACUCCUACGGGAGGCAGCAGUAGGGAAUUUUCGGCAAUGGGCGAAAGCCUGACCGAGCAACGCCGCGUGAACGAAGAAGUAUUUCGGUAUGUAAAGUUCUUUUAUUAGGGAAGAAAAGAUCAAGAUUGACGGUACCUAAUGAAUAAGCUCCGGCUAACUACGUGCCAGCCGCCGC
rnacentral:rRNA from 1 species